CACUAGGCCCUUUUCAGGGCCACCAUAUCUCAAGCUAGUCUCUG
rfam:Operophtera brumata OBRT01_Sc00441, whole genome shotgun sequence.